GGCCUGAGGCGGGGUCGGGACGGACGGAACUCACAAAAAGCCCCACGAGCCUCAGGGGUGUAGCCGGGGCUCGUUGGCCUCUUUCCGGCGUCCGGGGACUGGCCGAGCUGUACGUGGGACGGAGCAGGUCUGGGCGUAGGCGCAGCCCGGCUGCCUCAGCCCCGAGCGCGGCCGGACGGGCUCCAAGUAAUGAAAGACUUGGGGUUCAUUACAGGAGGUGCAUGUGCUAAUGAGCAGGCCAGUUAAUGGGGCAGGCAGGGAGCUGUGCCUGCUGCUCCCCAGAGAGCUCCGGAGAAGGAACCCCAGGGAUGGAGUGUCGGGAUCAGGGGCAGGAACAAAAAAGAAUCCACAGGAAGUCAAGUGAGGAGAAAUUCCUUCUUUCAGGAAGAAAUGCGUGUGUGAGAUUUGUGGGUGUAAUUUGGGUAGCUGUGGAAUUCCUACAAGUUUUGUUAGAAUUCCUAAGCUUGGUCAGCAUGGCUGAGCAGGUCCCCUCUUGUUUGUGUUACCAGAUGCCAGUGGAGCUUCCCAAAUGGAAUCCCAGAAUGGCUGGGGUUGGAAGGGACCUUAAAUCCCAUCCCAUCCCACCCCUGCCAUGGCAGGGACACCUCCCACUAUCCCAGGGUGUCCCAGUGUCCAGCCUAGCCUUGGCACUGCCAGGGAUCCAGGGGCAGCCCCAGCUGCUCUGGGAAUUCCAGCCCAGCCAGGAAUUCCCAACAUCCCAUCUAAAUUUCUCCUCUGGCAGAAAUACUCUAUUGUUUUGGGUUAUUUUUAUAAAUGGCAUUUCUUGAAUAAUUUUUAAGCUUGUUUGCUGUUUGUUCCACAAAGGAAGAGAAUCAGGUCUGUUAUCCAGUGAAGACUCAUUCAGACCAAGUAGGAAAGGCUGUUGAGGAUAAAAGAGUUAAUUUGCUUUUUGUUGAGUGUGGGUGGUUGUGGGGCAGAGCAGCUGCACCUGGAGACAAUAAAUGCAAAUUUAGCUCAAGGCAUCCAAGUGACUUCUCAGCCUCAUCAGCUGUGUGUGCUGUGGGUUUAAAAGGAGAAAAGUGGAUUUUACUGGCAUUUAUCCAUGUGGAUCUCAGCAGUGCCCAGAAAGGACCUAAAGCUGGGAGUCCUGCUGCUUCCCUUUGGGAAGGUGGCUGAUGCCAAUCAAAACUUAAUGGAAAAAAAAAUUAAUCAUGGUGCAAGGAUGAUGAUUGCAUUGUAAAGAGUUUUCCAAGCCCCCUUCCAGUCCUCUGCCUCUUCAGUUCCCAGUGGAGGUGCAACCCUGAAGAUUCCUGCCUCGGAUGGAGCAGCUGCAGAAAUUCAAUCCCAAAAGUCUGUGGUGUGCAUUGUGCAGCCCAGACACCCCAGUGAGAUCUGUAAUGGGGUUAAACUGGGGGAAACCCCAAACCCCCCUUGCAUGCUGUUUUUCUGUGGUUUUUCAUGGAAGUAUUUAAGGUUUUCCCCCUUUUUUUGGGAUGUUCCUUUAACAAGUCUUGUCAGUUAAUCAAUCCUGUAAGUUACAUAUAUUAAGUGUAGAGGUAUAAGAAUAAAUGUUUAUUCAGCAUUUUGGGAUCUUAAAUCAAUUAAUUGCCUCUCUGGAAGCAAAACCCAAAUGUUUCUUUUGUUUAGAGCAGCUGGAAGAAAAUACUUAUAUUUCAUAUAUUUGUACAUAUAUAGGUUUUGUUUAUUAGUGACUUUAAAAUGCAGAAAUACAGAAUAAUCUUCAUUAAACCUAAGGAAUCCUUUUCCUGCUGGAUUUCAUUGUAUCUCAGACUGACAGGACACCCCACACUGUGCUUAGGGUGUUUUAUUCUUUUUUCUUCUUUUCUCCUCUGGAUU